AAUGAUAAGCAUCGCGAUUGCAUCACUUUGCUGGCCUGGGGAGGCGGCCAGGGCGCAUUUCCAAAAGCACCCAGGUGUUCAGCUGUGCGGAGGGGAGGGGGGUGUUUGGGUUGGUGUCUGGCGGAGAAGCGUCUCCUCCAAGAUAAACAGAGAGCCUUAAAAAAAAGAAAGAAGGAAGGAAGGAAGAAAGGAAGGAAGGAAGGAAGGGGGAGAGCAAGCAAGCGUUGUUUAGUCUCUUGGCGCGUUUGGAAGGGUGCCCAAACGCGCUUUGCGGACUCGAUCCCAAGAAGGGAUCGUACGUUGGAUGCCAGGGACCAGUUCUCGCUCUACCAAGCAGAGUUCUCUUGGAACCAUACAGGCGAUUGUGCUGGCUUAUUUUUUUAAAUCACAGGGCAAUCUAGUUUGUUUAAAAGAAAGAAAACACAAAUUUUUAAAUUGUUAUUUAAAACGAGAGUUGCCUACCACUUAGGUUUCCUUGGAGACUUCUCAUACAGAGGCUGGUUGCAAAGCACUCUGCACAUUUGUGGAGGAACUCUGUUCCUCUGUUUUUUUUCCUGCUUGUGUGUGCCCUGUCCUGUUUUCCCUAAGACAGGAGCAUUUAGGAAAAUUAAGGCUUCAAUCUUCAGCUGUGUGGAGGCUUCAUUGAAGACAGGGGUGGGGGCUUAAGUUCUGGGGGUUGGGGGGUGGGUGGGGGUACCAUGCCUAGAAUUCUGGGUCCCAAACCCCCAAGGAGGUUUUUCUCAGAUUUGCUGCCUGCUUACAAGAGCUAAGGAAGUAAGUAAAGCGUGGGCUUUCUCUUUCAGCAGGAGGAGGAGGUAACAUAAUCCCACCCCCUAGAGGAGGGCUGACAAAAGUGUGCUGUGUUUUUCAAUCCUGACACUCCUCCUCCUCUUCUCUCUCUCUCUCUCUCUCUCUCUCUCUCUCUCAUUUGCUAAAGGGUGGGAUUUUUCCUUUGACGAAAACCCCAACAACUUGUUCCCACAAGAUCAUCUGUUUCUUGUUGGAUGCUUAUGAAAAUAUAAGGGCCUUGAGGCUCUGGUUAGGGCCUUCGUGACCAUUUAUGGAUUGCCUAAGUUGUGUGUGUGGUUUAUAGGAGUGCUUGCAUGCGCACACAUGUCCGGGGCUGGAGACUGCUGCUCUGCAGGCACGUGGUCAGCGCCGGUUGAAAAGCCAUGCGUUGCGGCAAUGGAUCUGUGGGCACCGCCUCUGUUCCGAAAGCUCGUGUUUGCGGUAACUAUAGUGCUCGUGUACACAAAUGCGCUCAGUGGGCAGAGUUUAGGAAAUGCCAUUGGUAUGAGUGAGUGUGUGAUGCUUGGAGCAGAGGCAUGGAGGAACGGUUUGGCUCCGUUUUCUCUGCAGAUGCCCAGAAUAAAGUAAGAAAGUCCGGCGACAAAGAAAGGGGUGUGUGUGUGUGAAAGGAUGUCUCUUAGUUGCACCAAACCGGGGUGAAGAAUGUGCUUCCCUCCAGAAGUUGCUGGACCCCAACUCCCACAGUGAUGUGUGGCGAUUUUUUGUUGUUAUAGGGAGACAGAGCCAGAGACGCCAGCUUGCGAAGGCGAUUUGGGGGGCAGGGAGUUGUUUGCGUGAGCAUCGCAGCUCCCUCCCUGAGCCAGGCAGAAGCUUCCCAGGCUUGGGAAGGAGGUGCCAGGGGGAACAUUUAGGGGGACUAGCCUAGUCCCCCUUGUAACAAGUUUUGUUACAUCAAUAAAGAUCAGGUCUUCUGGCUGCUGGUUUGCUUCAAUUUCAUGGCUGUAGUCUUGUUUGACCUUCUAACCUAAGCCUGCGGAACUCACUGCUGCACCCUAGUUCACUGACCACAUGCCGCUGAACUCCCAUCAGCAUGACUGAUGGUUGGGGAGCUAUAGCACAACCGCCAGCUGAAAGGCCGCAGGUUCUUCGAUUCCACCACUGGUUUCGGUUGGGUAUUUAAUGCCUUUGAAGUAGUAUAUUGUGUGUG